rnacentral:rRNA from 1 species
AUGCUGAAUAUACCGGUUCUCGUUAGAUCACCGAAGUCAAGCAUCAUUGGGCGCGGUCAGUACUUGGGUGGGUGACCACCUGGGAACACUGCGUGCCGUU